UACGUAGGGGGCUAGCGUUGUCCGGAAUCAUUGGGCGUAAAGCGCGUGUAGGCGGAUUGGUAAGUCCCUUGUGAAAUCCCACAGCUUAACUGUGGAACUGCUCGGUAUACUGCUGAUCUUGAGCCACUCAGGGGCUACCGGAACAAAUGGUGGAGCGGUGAAAUGCGUAGAUAUCAUUUGGAACGCCAAUGGUGAAAACAGGUAGCUGGGGGUGUGCUGACGCUGAGACACGAAAGCCAGGGGAGCAAACGGG
rnacentral:rRNA from 1 species